rnacentral:rRNA from 1 species
AUUGAACGCUGGCGGCAGGCCUAACACAUGCAAGUCGAGCGGGGUUUUCGGACCUAGCGGCGGACGGGUGAGUAAUGCGUAGGAAGCUACCCGAUAGAGGGGGAUACCAGUUGGAAACGACGGGUAAUACCGCAUAAUGUCUACGGACCAAAGUGUGGGACCUUCGGGCCACAUGCUAUCGGAUGCGCCUACGUGGGAUUAGCUAGUUGGUGAGGUAAUGGCUCACCAAGGCGACGAUCCCUAGCUGGUUUGAGAGGAUGAUCAGCCACACUGGAACUGAGACACGGUCCAGACUCCUACGGGAGGCAGCAGUGGGGAAUAUUGGACAAUGGGCGCAAGCCUGAUCCAGCCAUGCCGCGUGUGUGAAGAAGGCCUUCGGGUUGUAAAGCACUUUCAGUAGGGAGGAAGCGUUGUGUGUUAAUAGUACACAGCGUUGACGUUACCUACAGAAGAAGCACCGGCUAACUCUGUGCCAGCCGCCGCGGUAACAC